CCUACGGGUGGCUGCAGUGGGGAAUAUUGGACAAUGGGGGCAACCCUGAUCCAGCCAUGCCGCGUGUGUGAAGAAGGCCCUCGGGUUGUAAAGCACUUUCAGUGAGGAAGAACGCCUGGUGGUUAAUACCCAUCAGGAAAGACAUCACUCACAGAAGAAGCACCGGCUAACUCCGUGCCAGCAGCCGCGGUAAUACGGAGGGUGCGAGCGUUAAUCGGAAUUACUGGGCGUAAAGCGCGCGUAGGUGGCUUGAUAAGCCGGUUGUGAAAGCCCCGGGCUCAACCUGGGAACGGCAUCCGGAACUGUCAAGCUAGAGUGCAGGAGAGGAAGGUAGAAUUCCCGGUGUAGCGGUGAAAUGCGUAGAGAUCGGGAGGAAUACCAGUGGCGAAGGCGGCCUUCUGGACUGACACUGACCAUGAGGUGCGAAAGCGUGGGUAGCAAACAGGAUUAGAUACCCUAGUAGUC
rnacentral:rRNA from 1 species